AUCACUCCUACGGGGAGGCAGCAGUGGGGAAUAUUGCACAAUGGGNGCAAGCCUGAUGCAGCCAUGCCCGCGUGUGUGAAGAAGGGCCUUCGGGGUUGUAAAGCACUUUCAGUUGUGAGGAAGGUGGUGUCGUUAAUAGCGGCAUCAUUUGACGUUAGCAACAGAAGAAGCACCGGCUAACUCCGUGCCAGCAGCCGCGGUAAUACGGAGGGUGCGAGCGUUAAUCGGAAUUACUGGGCGUAAAGCGCAUGCAGGUGGUUUGUUAAGUCAGAUGUGAAAGCCCGGGGCUCAACCUCGGAACUGCAUUUGAAACUGGCAGACUAGAGUACUGUAGAGGGGGGUAGAAUUUCAGGUGUAGCGGUGAAAUGCGUAGAGAUCUGAAGGAAUACCGGUGGCGAAGGCGGCCCCCUGGACAGAUACUGACACUCAGAUGCGAAAGCGUGGGGAGCAAACAGGAUUAGAUACCCUGGUAG
rnacentral:rRNA from 1 species